rnacentral:lncRNA from 1 species
AAAAAAGGAUUUGCAGCAUUAAUUAAAUCCUAUUGCUGAGGAUAGAAUGGGGAGGAUUCUGUGGGCAGAGAGUUAGGAUCGCGGGCUGAGAGCUGGCAGGGACAGGAGAGAUGAACCAAGCAAGAGGAAGAGGCUCUCUGAGGUCCCCCGAGCUCGUGGCUGGGCGUGCCGGGCGCCUCCUCAGCAGGAAUCACAGCCAUAUCCCAUCAGUAUAUGCUAACCGAGGGAAGAAAUGUCCUGGGUUCAAGUGAAAAUACGAGCAUUAUAGGACAUCUGGUGACCGUAUCAACUGUUCUUCCUCUCUGUGAUUUUGGAGUGUAGCCAAGAUGGCUGGCUGCGUGACAGCUGCUGCUGCCCUUCCUCCUCCGUCUUAACUCUGCCGAAGAAGGGCCAGAAGUUAAGAAGACCUCAAAGGACCACGCGGCACCAAAUGACACGUUGCCUUUGCACAUACUAGAGAUAGCAGUAUGGAAAUGUUUAUUUCAUAGUAAAAAUAUGUAUCUACAAGCAAUCAUUUGUAUUUUUUAAAAAACAUACAGAUAGGAGAAAUUAUUAUAAAAUUAUUAAAAAUCAUUUUAAAGUUCAGUUGAUUCAGUCAACAUGUCUGAUCCUUCUAUUAAGUCUAUGUUGGCUCAUAGGAUUCCUUGAGUUGGAAGGGACCUCAGAAGCCAUCUAGUCCAAAUUCUGCAUUUUACAAGUGAGGAAACUGAGGCUGAGAAAGGUUAACUGACUGGCCUAUGUCACACAGGUAAUAAGUGUGAGAAAUGGAAUGUGAACCUAUGUCUUCUGGCUUGAAUUAGCACUCUUUCUUUUAUAAAAAUUUCUGAGUAUGCCCAACAGCGAAUACAACGAGCCUUUCUAUAUAUAGUAUAGAAGAGAAAGAGAUAAAUCAGAACACUGAAUCUCUGUUUGUCGAGCUGGCUUUUCCAUAUAAGUAUAUGAUGAGUUCCAUGUAUCACUUCCAAUGCUGGCCUUAGAGCAAGAACAAAUUCUUCAAGUCUAAUUGGCUUCAUUUUAUGGAAGAGGGCGCAGAGACCUGACAGCAAAGGGGCUUAGGAUCACAAGACAUAGAGGCAUAAGGGACCCUAGAGAUGACUUAAUCCAACCCCUUUCAUUUCACAGAUGAGGAGACUGAGGUCAAAAAAGCACAAAUGCCCCCUAUGAUCAUGCAGUUCUUAAGUGUCAGAGCCUGGAUUUGAACCCAGCUCUUUUGACCCCAAGUCCAAUGCAUGACCUUAAAGAUUCUUGUAC